rnacentral:misc_RNA from 1 species
GGAAGUAAAAGUCGUAACAGGGUUUCCGUAGGUGAACCUGCGGAAGGAUCAUUAUUGUAUAACCGAGGUGCGAGGGCCGUCGCUGACCCGAAAGGUCGUGCACGCCCGAGUGCCCUCACACACAUCCAUCUCACCCCUAUGUGCACCACCGCGUGGGUCCCCCUUUGGCUUGUUCGGAGGGGGGCUUACGUUUUCACACAAACUUUGUAUGCAGUGUAGAAUGUAUUUUUUGUUUUUGCGAUCACGCAAUCAAUACAACUUUCAACAACGGAUCUCUUGGCUCUC